CAGACACUUAAGAAGGAAGCUCCCUCCCUUCUUGCUCCGGUUACGUCCCAAGGCUUUUUUUUUCUUCAGGUACUGCACAAAAAUCCUCAUCAAAACUGAGUUAAAAACAGCAACUCUUUGCCCUCAUAUUUCUGUCAGCUGCUCACCUGGGAGUGACUCUGGUCUCGCCUGCAAGCACUCAUCUGUUCAAGUCAUCUGUCAUGGGACAGCUUACCUGAGGCCAAACGUCUAAGAAGAUAGCAAAACAAGACAGAAAAACAACUCCGAAUGGCAGUUUUUGAACAAUUCACUGGAAGUUGUGGAACAGAAGGUAGUGAAUUUGGAUUAAUCAGGGCCCUAGGCUGGGCUGUGACAUCUGUGACCUCCCCAGCUGGCUGAGCACAGCUUUCCAAGUGCUUUCUGUGGCCAAGGAAGAAGAAAACCCCGUGGGAUGUCAUCUAUGGCCACUGGAUGUGGGCCCUAACAGGAAGCUGGAAGCUCGGAACUGGGUCGCCACUCCUCUCCGUUAUUUCUGAGAACUCCUCGAACAAUCGCUGCAAACAGCUGUCUUGUCCAAUCAGGGCUCAUUCUCCUGGGAGGCCCCAAGCCUGGUGAAUUUCACAACUUUGCAGCUUCUGGGGAAAUGCAUAAUGAGUUUCCAAAUCCCUUUGCUUAGCAUUGAUAAGGGAUUUUGAAAGAGAAAAUAAAACACACGGCCAUUUUAUACCUUGGUAUUUAUACAUAAGAUAGGAAGUAGAAAUGGAAAGCAAGAAAACUGGACUUCAUGAUCAUAUGGACUUUUUUGGCAUUUGGUAGAAUCCGUAGUCCCCAUACAGAUCUUGAACAAAUAUUGUUAAUGAUGCACUUUAAAUUUUGUCAUGAAAAGCUAGGGCUGGCAGGAACUUAAAGGUCACCUAUUGCACACCUUCAUAUUAUGAAUCUGAGCCCAGAGAGAUGAUUGUCACUUCCUGAUGGUCAGUUCCCAUGGUGGAAAGAACAUGAGGCUUAGAGUGAGGAAACUUGAACGUGAGUCUUAACCCUCCACUUUCUGGCUGUGACCCAGACCAGCCAUUAACCCUGUAUUUCUGUAUGGGCAAACUGGAGUGAUGUAGGCAGCAGACAGAGUGUCUUUGUUGGGGAGGUACAGCAGGGUCCCAAGACAUUGGCUCUCACAGAGUCAGACUAGCAAAAUUCACAUAGAAAGUGGAGAAAAAGCCACCUUUAAAAAUAAAUCAUAAAAUUGCAAAUUUAUAAUGGGAGAGGUUUUGAAAUAGGC
rnacentral:lncRNA from 1 species